AAGAAGAAGUAACAGGCUUUAGGGGAGUGACAAAGCAGAGGCAGGACCUCAGUGACAGGAACUAUUAGCACAAGUUGAAAUGGACAUUAAUUAGGAAUUCAGCUGAAACAUCUUGUGAAACACAAGUUUCUAAGCAACAGUGGCCACCUUGGAACAGUGUGGACGUUUUCUCUGCCAUGGAGCUCCUGGGCCUGGGUGUGAUGCUGUAGCAACGUUCGCUGUUAGACCCUGGGAAGAUGGUUGACCUUUUUAAAGACCACACUUUCCUCCACGUUAACACGGCUGAACUUGGGAAAACCAGUAAAGAAUGUGUUCACCUCCUAGCAAAUUACUGGAAGGAACAUGAGAAAUGUAAGUAGGAAUCUGGACGUGGCAGAGGAACCCAAAUUGCUCGCUUAUAGAAUGAUGGCAGUUAAUUUGGUGAUAUUAUUUCUAGAGGUACCGUUUAUUGGCUGGUGCUUAUCAAGUGCGGAUUUUUGAGGAAUGCAUUUACUAAUACAUGCAGCCAGGUCUCCACAGUUGCUGAGAGGUACCCUGAGAGAUGCUGUUCUUUUUGGUUCCCAGAGGCCUGGGAAAGGGAAGAGGGGCCAGGUGUUCUCUUUUUUUUUUUUUUCUUUUUAUGGCCGCACCUGUGGCACAGGGAUUUUCCCGGCCAGAGGCCAAAUCCGAGCUGCAGCUGAGGCCCACGCCACAGCCACACCGAUCUGAGCCACAUGUUCCACCUACACUGCAGCUUGUGGCUGCCACUGAGGGAGGCCAGGGAUCAAAUCUGUAACCCCAGGGAGACUAUACCAGGUCCCUAACCCCCUGAGCCACAAUGGGAACUCUGGGCCAGGUGUUUUUUAAUGUCUGUGAUGUGUGCCAGGUAUUUUCUGGGCUAAGUGUUAUUACCUGUCUUGUAACCUUGUUUUACCUCACAACAAACUUAAAAGGCAGGAGGGGUUUUUAUCCUUUUAUUUAUUUAUUCAUUUUUUAGGGCCACACUCAAGCCAUGUGGACGUUCCCAGGCCAGGGGCAGAAUUGGAGCGGUAGC